rnacentral:lncRNA from 1 species
UUAUUUCAUUUCAUAUUAAACUAGGAGCAAUUCUAGUGUCCCCUACCUAACUGGAUCUAUCCUAUCUUUCCAUAAUCUUAUGACUUAAUUAAAAACUAAGGGUGUCUAUGUACAUAUGUGUGGAACUGCAACACAGCUAGCUAGUAGUUUUGUUCUCAUUUUUUUGUAACUGUUGUGCACCCCCCCCACUCCAGUGUUAAAUGGUUGUCUCUUAAGUCUACUAUCCAACUUGGUUCUUUGGAGGUGUUCAUAGAGAUAGAGCAUACGUGCAUUCAUAGAGGUGAGUCUGUGCUCGUGUAUAUGAGUGUCUGUGUCUAUAACUGGGUCUUGAAAAAAAAACCUACUAUUACUAAUUGGAGAACUCUUUUGCAGCCCAAACAUGCUACAGAAAAAUAGAGAUAUCCUUUUAGAAAAAAGAACAAAACAGUCUACCGUCGAGUCCGGCCCACAGAUUCAAAUAUUGUCCACAGCCAUUGUAUUUUAUUUGCUUCUAACUAUCCACCUUUGAUAUGAUGUUUUUCAAAUAAACACUCAAAUUUACAUUAAGAAAUCUCCCAAAUCCGAGUAUAAAAAUAACGUGAUGACAGGGUUCGAGACAAAGAAAGAUCAAGGCAGCACGCCAGCACGUAAUUUUGAAACCGUAAGUUGAUAGCUAGGUCUGAGGACGCAGAGAUACAACAGGGGGUUGUUCACAAAUCCCAAAAAUAGUCUUAUUUUUUUGCAGGUAACAUAAACUUAAGAUUAUUUAUGAAUUCAUUGGC